CUGGAGCCCUGGGAGGAGGGGGUUGGGCAGCUGCUGUUGCUGCCGCUGGUGGUCCCUGUGCUUGAAGUGCCGGGUGGUAUCGGAGUCCAUGCGCCCAAGGCUUGCUACUCUCUCCUACCGCGAAGAUGCCCAGCACCCAGCAACAUUUUCUGGCCCAGCAGAGGGGGUCAUCUCUGAUAGAAGUAUACCUGGAACGUUGGCAUGAGGAAAUCAAUCAAUGCAAAGCAUAUCAUGAGCUCUCACAGACCUCUGUGACUGUUCCUGGCCCCAUCAGAUGGUGGGCCUGAGCCUGGAGCGCUGAGCUGGUCGGUAGGGUGCAGCACAUUCCUCAUCUGGAGCUGACACCUUUAGGACUUCCUUCCCAGUUGUCUUCUUCGGGCUUCCUCCUCCGCACCCUGUCAGGCCAAAGCCUCUCACACUCAGGAGUUUCUCCUUCCAGUAAGAAG
rnacentral:lncRNA from 1 species